GUCCACGCUGUAAACGAUGGGUACUAGGUGUCGCGGGUGUUGACCCCUGCGGUGCCGCAGCUAACGCAUUAAGUACCCCGCCUGGGGAUUACGGUCGCAAGAUUAAAACUCAAAGGAAUUGACGGGGGCCCGCACAAGCGGUGGAGCAUGUGGUUUAAUUCUACGCAACGCGAAGAACCUUACCUGGGUUAGCAACGGUGGACCAUCCUGGAGACAGGGUUUUCCCUUCGGGGACUGCCGGUUCAGGUGCUGCAUGGCUGUCGU
rnacentral:rRNA from 1 species